rnacentral:rRNA from 1 species
GACGAACGCUGGCGGCGUGCUUAACACAUGCAAGUCGAACGGAAAGGCCCUGCUUUUGUGGGGUGCUCGAGUGGCGAACGGGUGAGUAACACGUGAGUAACCUGCCCUUGACUUUGGGAUAACUUCAGGAAACUGGGGCUAAUACCGGAUAGGAGCUCCUGCUGCAUGGUGGGGGUUGGAAAGUUUCGGCGGUUGGGGAUGGACUCGCGGCUUAUCAGCUUGUUGGUGGGUAGUGGCUUACCAAGGCUUUGACGGGUAGCCGGCCUGAGAGGGUGAUCGGCCACAUUGGGACUGAGAUACGGCCCAGACUCCUACGGGAGGCAGCAGUGGGGAAUAUUGCACAAUGGGCGGAAGCCUGAUGCAGCAACGCCGCGUGCGGGAUGACGGCCUUCGGGUUGCAAACCGCUUUCGCCUGUGACGAAGCGUGAGUGACGGUAAUGGGUAAAGAAGCACCGGCUAACUACGUG